rnacentral:rRNA from 1 species
AUGUCAAGAUCCUCUGCCGGGCGCUCACCACACAGUUGCAGCAGCAGAUUGGGGGGGGGGGUGAUCGACGUCGACCAGUCCGGAUUCGUCUCCGGACGAAGCAUCUCUGAGAACUUCGUCUAUGCGACCGAAGUGGUGCAAUGCUGCCGCGCGAGGAAAGCCCCCUCCCUCAUCCUCAAGCUGGACUUCGCUAAAGCCUUCGACUCUGUUAAUUGGGCGUGCCUUCGUCGAGUCAUGGAGGUGCGCGGCUUCCCUGAGAAAUGGUGCGCGUGGGUGGAUGCCAUCCUCCGUUCAUCACGCUCCGCGGUGCUGCUCAACGGAGUGCCGGGGGCGUGGUUCCCCGUCAGGUGUGGGCUUCGCCAAGGAGACCCGAUGUCGCCCUACCUCUUCCUCUUGGUGGCAGAUGUCCUGCAACGGAUGGUGCGACGCGACCCCCUGCUCCAACACCCGGUGGUGGAGGGGGGGGGGAGCACCGAUCGUGCUUCAAUACGCCGAUGA